rnacentral:lncRNA from 1 species
CACCGUCGGCCGACGGCACAGCGCGCCGACACGAGCCGUCCAGAUGCGAGGCAUGCGCCAAAGUCGGCAUGUUCCUCCACCCCACAUUCGCAGAUCGAGCAUCGGCAGUGGUACGAGCGGAGAUUGCCGCCCGCACGCGACGCCCAUGCAUCGCGCAGUAAAUUGGCGCGCUCAGGACCCACAGCGCCAGCCGAGGCGAUCACGGCGGCCCACCGCGGAUGGGUCAUGCGCGCGGCAAAGCGCCACGCCGGAUGCAAAAAGGGCACGCCGCGCUCGUCGACGCCGUUGAGGAUCAUGUCGAGGAUCUCGGUCGGCAGCGACUCUGUCAUUUCUCUCCCUCUUUUUUUUCCCGUUUGUUUAAAUAGAGUUUGGCUUUGCCGUUGCUUGGCGGCUUUGUGG